rnacentral:tRNA from 1 species
GACUAGGGAAUAGCUUAGUUGGCAGAGCAUGAGAAUCUUAAUCUCAGGGUCAUGGGUUCAAGCCCCAUGUUGGGCA